rnacentral:lncRNA from 1 species
UGGAAAUUAAAUAGAAAAUUUGUUUCCUUUCUUAUUUUGCGUGAAAGAAGUGCAGGCAUUCUGCCAACUUUUAUUUGCAUUUCAAUUUUUGGCUUAAUUUUUUCCCAAGCCCUCCCUAUUUCGUCUAUCACUAUUUCCAUUUAAAUACACUCCCAUAACCAACCAAAGCAUAAUUAAAUUCAUGCUUCACUAAAUUCAAAUUAGCUUUAGGCCGAUAUUCUUUUCGCUCAAGAAUCAUGAGAAAUUGUAUCCGCACUAAAAAUCCUUUAAAUCCGUAUUCACCAUCUUUCUAGAAUAUCGAGAUUGACAAAUUCAUCCGUUAAAGUUAACUCGAUUUCAAUUCAAAAAACGCAUUGGGUUGGAGUCGUUUUGGCGUAUAGUUGGGAAGACGAGUCAGUCGUGCUGUAUUCGGAUUCCCACGAACAAGUUAAGGGAGAUUUUGAUCGGAUUUAAACGUCUCGCAUGGUUGGGGUCGUUAACCCGAGUUGGGUUCUUCAGAUUUCAAGGCUGCCAAGGUCUUGAAUUGGGAACGCGUGUAUCGCGGUUAGACAAUUGGUAAGGGUUAGUUUGCAGGGCGGUUAGCAGGUUCUUAGCUGCUACAAUCAGCUUAUUGUUUGGAGGAGAAAACUAAUUUUCGAGGAUCGACUCAAAAACCGAAAUCCACCGAGUCUAAGGCAAAGGCUUUAUAACUCUGUCUACAAAAUCCGGAUUUAUUUCCCAAUUUAAUUUAAUUUUUGAUUUAUUGAAUUGUUUAUUUUUAUUUCUACUAUUUCGUUUGUUCUAUUUCUAGUCAUUUUGAAACUCCCCUAACUUAUGUAUUUUUCAGUAGGUCGUUUGGAGUCGCGGGCAUGUCUUUUGCCAUGAUUAUUGGCACGACAAAAAUUAUGUUCACAAGAAAAACACGAAAGUUGAUCAUAAUCACAAAUCCCUGUAGAAUCGACCCUACUAGUUUCUACUACUGUUUAGAGUUAUUUUAUUGUAGGAAUUAUUUUUAUUUAGUGGUUUCGACGCAUAUCAAAUGGAAAAGAUUUUGAUUAGUGUACCAGCUGAAUCCGAAAGUGACUCCCAUGAGUCUAUCACCGGUUUUAGCAUAAUUAGGAAAAAUGUGUGCUCACAGUCCUAGCUUUCCUUUACACUAACGGAUACAAAAUUUUGAGUAGGUUAAGCAGCACUAUGAAAAUCUACAAUUAUGAAUAACAUCGAAAAGUUUACAACUCAUUAUCUAAAAUUUCGAGUGUAUGUUAAAUAUUUUGAAUACUAUUAUGUAUCACCAUAGAAAUUAGAAAGUAAUAGAUUGAAUUCUAUAAGUUUGAAUACCG